AUUGAACGCUGGCGGCAGGCUUAACACAUGCAAGUCGAACGAGUGGCGGACGGGUGAGUAAUGCUUGGGAAUCUGGCUUAUGGAGGGGGAUAACGACGGGCAACUGUCGCUAAUCCCGCGUACCAUAGGAUGAGCCCAAGUGGGAUUAGGUAGUUGGUGGGGUAAUGGCCUACCAGGCCGACGAUCUCUAGCUGGUCUGAGAGGAUGACCAGCAACACGGGGACUGAGACACGGCCCGGACGCCUACGGGAGGAAGCGGUGGGGAAUAUGGCGCAAUGGGGGAAACCUGACGCAGCCAUGCCGCGUGAAUGAGGAGGGCCUUCGGGUUGUAAAGUUCUGACGGGGACGAGGGGUUAAUCACAGAAGAAGCACCGGCUAACUCCGUGCCAGCAGCCGCGGUAAUAC
rnacentral:rRNA from 1 species